rnacentral:rRNA from 1 species
GACGAACGCUGGCGGCGUGCUUAACACAUGCAAGUCGAACGAAGUGGCGAACGGGUGAGUAACGCGUAAUCAACCUGCCCUUCAGAGGGGGAUAACAGUUGGAAACGACUGCUAAUACCGCAUACAGAAGGAGGGGAUUGCGUCGGAUUAGCUAGUGGGCGGGGUAACGGCCCACCAAGGCGAUGAUCAGUAGCCGGUCUGAGAGGAUUGACGGCCACAUUGGGACUUAGACACGGCCCAGACUCCUACGGGAGGCAGCAGUGGGGAAUCUUCCGCAAUGGACGGAAGUCUGACGAAGCAACGCCGCGUGAUGGAUGACGGCCUUCGGGUUGUAAAGCUCUGUUAAUCGGGACGCGGUACCGGAAUAGAAAGCCACGGCUAACUACGUGCCAGCAGCCGCGGUAAUUC